rnacentral:rRNA from 1 species
AGCGAACGCUGGCGGCAGGCCUAACACAUGCAAGUCGAACGGCUCCUUCGUGAUUAGUGGCGCACACGUGAGGAACAUGGCGGACCGUGCCGGUUUGUUCCGAACAAUUCAGGGAAACGUGAGCUAAUACCGGAUGUGUCCCUCUGGUGCAACAUUCAUCCUCCUUGGAACGGCCGGCGUCCUUUUAACCUUGUGCUAAGGUAUCGGCCCAUGUCGGCUUAGCUAGUUGGCGGGGUCAAGGGGCAGCACGGCGACGCUCCGUAGCAGGUCUGAGAGGAUGGACCGCCACACGGGAUCUGAGACACGGCACAGACUCCGACGGUAGGCCGCAGUGGGGAAUAUUGCACGAUGGGGGCAAGCCUGAUCCAGCCAAACCGGGGAGGUGAAGAAGGACUUCGGGUUGGAAAGCCCUUUUGGUGGGAAAGAAAAGCAGCAGUUUAAGACCCCGCUGUUCUGACGGUACCCAAAGAAGAAGCACCGGCUAACUUCGUG